GACGAACGCUGGCGGCGUGCUUAACACAUGCAAGUCGAACGAAGUGGCGAACGGGUGAGUAAGACGUGGGUAACCUGCCCUCCUUUUUGGGAUAAGCCUUGGAAACGGGGUCUAAUACCGAAUAAGGGGGGAUGGGCUCGCGGCCUGUCAGCUUGUUGGUGGGGUGAUGGCCUACCAAGGCGGUGACGGGUAGACGGCCUGAGAGGCUGAACGGCGACAUUGGGACGGAGCUACGGCCCAGGCUACUAAGGGGGGGAGCAGUGGGCGAUAUUGCACAAUGGGCGAUAGCCUGAUGCAGCGACGCUGCGUGGGGGAUUAAGGUUUUCGAGUUGUAAACCUCUGUCGCUAUCGAACCGUUAGGUGGAGAAGAAGCGCCGGCUAACUACGUGCCAGCAGCCGCGGUAAUAC
rnacentral:rRNA from 1 species